rnacentral:rRNA from 1 species
GGGGAAUAUUGCACAAUGGGCGCAAGCCUGAUGCAGCGACGCCGCGUGGGGGAUGACGGCCUUCGGGUUGUAAACCUCUUUCGUCAGGGAAGAAGCCUUUUUGGGGUGACGGUACCUGGAGAAGAAGCACCGGCUAACUACGUGCCAGCAGCCGCGGUAAUACGUAGGGUGCGAGCGUUGUCCGGAAUUAUUGGGCGUAAAGAGCUUGUAGGCGGUUUGUCGCGUCUGCGGUGAAAACCCGGGGCUUAACCUUGGGCGUGCCGUGGGUACGGGCAGGCUAGAGUGUGGUAGGGGAGACUGGAAUUCCUGGUGUAGCGGUGAAAUGCGCAGAUAUCAGGAGGAACACCGAUGGCGAAGGCAGGUCUCUGGGCCAUAACUGACGCUGAGAAGCGAAAGCAUGGGGAGCGAAC